GCCGAAAUAGCUCAGUUGGGAGAGCGUUAGACUGAAGAUCUAAAGGUCCCUGGUCCGACCCCGGGUUUCAGCA
rnacentral:tRNA from 1 species